rnacentral:rRNA from 1 species
CAAUAGCGUAUAUUUAAGUUGUUGCAGUUAAAAAGCUCGUAGUUGGAUUUCGGAUGGGACUUGCCGGUCCGUCGUUUCGAUGUGCACUGGCCAGUCCUAUCUUGUUGUCGGGGACUAGCUCCUGGGCUUCACUGUCCGGGACUAGGAGCUGACGAGGUUACUUUGAGUAAAUUAGAGUGUUCAAAGUAAGCCUACGCUCUGAAUACAUUAGCAUGGAAUAACACGAUAGGACUCUGGCUUAUCUUGUUGGUCUGUGAGACCGGAGUAAUGAUUAAGAGGGACAGUCGGGGGCAUUCGUAUUUCAUUGUCAGAGGUGAAAUUCUUGGAUUUAUGAAAGACGAACUUCUGCGAAAGCAUUUGUCAAGGAUGUUUUCAUUAA